CCCUGCCAUUUGUACACACCGCCCGUCGCACCUACCGAUUGGAUGGUCCGGUGAAGCCCUCGGAUCGGCCUUGACCUUCGGCGAUAGGACGAGAAGUAGGCUAAACCUUACCAUCUAGAGGAAGGUGAAGUCGUAACAAGGUUUCCGUAGGUG
rnacentral:rRNA from 1 species